rnacentral:rRNA from 1 species
AAACUCCGCAAUACGCGAAAGCGUGACGGGGGAACUCCAAGUGCGCUCGCGCAAGCGAGUGCUUUUGCAGAGUGCAAACAGCUCUGCGAAUAAAAGCGGGGUAAGACCGGUGCCAGCCGCCGCGGUAACACCGGCGGCUCGAGUGGUGACCGCUAUUAUUGGGUCUAAAGGGUCUGUAGCCGGCCUAAUAAGUUCUUUGGGAAAUCUGGCGGCUUAACCGUCAGGCUGCUGAGGGAUACUGUUAGGCUUGAGACCAGGAGAGGCUAGAGGUACCUCGGGGGUAGGGGUGAAA